UACGGAGGGUGCGAGCGUUGUCCGGAAUUAUUGGGCGUAAAGAGCUUGUAGGCGGUUUGUCGCGUCUGCUGUGAAAAUCCGGGGCUCAACCCCGGACUUGCAGUGGGUACGGGCAGACUAGAGUGUGGUAGGGGAGACUGGAAUUCCUGGUGUAGCGGUGAAAUGCGCAGAUAUCAGGAGGAACACCGAUGGCGAAGGCAGGUCUCUGGGCCACUACUGACGCUGAGAAGCGAAAGCAUGGGGAGCGAACAGGAUUAGAUA
rnacentral:rRNA from 1 species